UACGGAGGGGGCUAGCGUUGUUCGGAAUUACUGGGCGUAAAGCGCACGUAGGCGGCUUUGUAAGUUAGAGGUGAAAGCCCAGGGCUUAACCCUGGAAUUGCCUUUAAGACUGCAUCGCUAGAAUCGUGGAGAGGUAAGUGGAAUUCCGAGUGUAGAGGUGAAAUUCGUAGAUAUUCGGAAGAACACCAGUGGCGAAGGACGACUUACUGGGACACGUAUUGACGCGUGACGGUGCGAAAGCGUGGGGA
rnacentral:rRNA from 1 species